AGUGAACGCUGGCGGUAGGCCUAACACAUGCAAGUCAAACGGCAGCACAGUAAGAGCUUGCUCUUACGGGUGGCGAGUGGCGGACGGGUGAGGAAUACAUCGGAAUCUACUUUUUCGUGGGGGAUAACGUAGGGAAACUUACGCUAAUACCGCAUACGACCUACGGGUGAAAGCAGGGGAUCUUCGGACCUUGCGCGAUUGAAUGAGCCGAUGUCGGAUUAGCUAGUUGGCGGGGUAAAGGCCCACCAAGGCGACGAUCCGUAGCUGGUCUGAGAGGAUGAUCAGCCACACUGGAGCUGAGACACGGUCCAGACUCCUACGGGAGGCAGCAGUGGGGAAUAUUGGACAAUGGGCGCAAGCCUGAUCCAGCCAUACCGCGUGGGUGAAGAAGGCCUUCGGGUUGUAAAGCCCUUUUGUUGGGAAAGAAAAGCAGCAGGUUAAUACCCCGCUGUUCUGACGGUACCCAAAGAAUAAGCACCGGCUAACUUCGUG
rnacentral:rRNA from 1 species